GAUGAACGCUGGCGGCGUGCCUAAUACAUGCAAGUCGAACGCUGAAGGAAGGAGCUUGCUCUUUCCGGAUGAGUUGCGAACGGGUGAGUAACGCGUAGGUAACCUGCCUGGUAGCGGGGGAUAACUAUUGGAAACGAUAGCUAAUACCGCAUAACAGUAGAUGUUGCAUGAUAUCUACUUAAAAGGUGCAAUUGCACCACUACCAGAUGGACCUGCGUUGUAUUAGCUAGUUGGUGAGGUAACGGCUCACCAAGGCGACGAUACAUAGCCGACCUGGGAGGGGGAUCGGCCACACUGGGAAUGGGACACGGCCCAGACUCCUACGGGAGGCAGCAGUAGGGAAUCUUCGGCAAUGGACGGAAGUCUGACCGGGCAACGCCGCGUGAGUGAAGAAGGGUUUCGGAUCGUAAAGCUCUGUUGUAAGAGAAGAACGAGUGUGAGAGUGGAAAGUUCACACUGUGACGGUAUCUUACCAGAAAGAGACGGCUAACUACGUG
rnacentral:rRNA from 1 species